rnacentral:rRNA from 1 species
CGGCGGACGGGUGAGUAACACGUGGAUAACCUACCUAUAAGACUGGGAUAACUUCGGGAAACCGGAGCUAAUACCGGAUAAUAUUUUGAACCGCAUGGUUCAAAAGUGAAAGACGGUCUUGCUGUCACUUAUAGAUGGAUCCGCGCUGCAUUAGCUAGUUGGUAAGGUAACGGCUUACCAAGGCAACGAUGCAUAGCCGACCUGAGAGGGUGAUCGGCCACACUGGAACUGAGACACGGUCCAGACUCCUACGGGAGGCAGCAGUAGGGAAUCUUCCGCAAUGGGCGAAAGCCUGACGGAGCAACGCCGCGUGAGUGAUGAAGGUCUUCGGAUCGUAAAACUCUGUUAUUAGGGAAGAACAUAUGUGUAAGUAACUGUGCACAUCUUGACGGUACCUAAUCAGAAAGCCACGGCUAACUACGUGCCAGCAGCCGCGGUAAUACGUAGGUGGCAAGCGUUAUCCGGAAUUAUUGGGCGUAAAGCGCGCGUAGGCGGUUUUUUAAGUCUGAUGUGAAAGCCCACGGCUCAACCGUGGAGGGUCAUUGGAAACUGGAAAACUUGAGUGCAGAAGAGGAAAGUGGAAUUCCAUGUGUAGCGGUGAAAUGCGCAGAGAUAUGGAGGAACACCAGUGGCGAAGGCGACUUUCUGGUCUGUAACUGACGCUGAUGUGCGAAAGCGUGGGGAUCAAACAGGAUUAGAUACCCUGGUAGUCCACGCCGUAAACGAUGAGUGCUAAGUGUUAGGGGGUUUCCGCCCCUUAGUGCUGCAGCUAACGCAUUAAGCACUCCGCCUGGGGAGUACGACCGCAAGGUUGAAACUCAAAGGAAUUGACGGGGACCCGCACAAGCGGUGGAGCAUGUGGUUUAAUUCGAAGCAACGCGAAGAACCUUACCAAAUCUUGACAUCCUUUGACAACUCUAGAGAUAGAGCCUUCCCCUUCGGGGGACAAAGUGACAGGUGGUGCAUGGUUGUCGUCAGCUCGUGUCGUGAGAUGUUGGGUUAAGUCCCGCAACGAGCGCAACCCUUAAGCUUAGUUGCCAUCAUUAAGUUGGGCACUCUAAGUUGACUGCCGGUGACAAACCGGAGGAAGGUGGGGAUGACGUCAAAUCAUCAUGCCCCUUAUGAUUUGGGCUACACACGUGCUACAAUGGACAAUACA